UACGUAGGUGACAAGCGUUGUCCGGAUUUACUGGGCGUAAAGAGCGCGCAGGCGGUCGUUCAAGUCGAGUGUGAAAGCCCCCGGCUCAACUGGGGAGGGUCAUUCGAUACUGAUCGACUCGAAGGCAGGAGAGGGAAGUGGAAUUCCCGGUGUAGUGGUGAAAUGCGUAGAUAUCCGGAGGAAUACCAAAGGCGAAGGCAGUGUCCUGGCUGGCAUCUGACGCUGAGGCGCGAAAGCUAGGGGAGCGAACAGG
rnacentral:rRNA from 1 species